AUUGAACGCUGGCGGCAUGCUUUACACAUGCAAGUCGAACGGUAACAGGCCGCAAGGUGCUGACGAGUGGCGAACGGGUGAGUAAUGCAUCGGAACGUGCCCAGUCGUGGGGGAUAACGCAGCGAAAGCUGCGCUAAUACCGCAUACGAUCUAUGGAUGGAAGCGGGGGACCGAAAGGCCUCGCGCGAUUGGAGCGGCCGAUGUCAGAUUAGGUAGUUGGUGGGGUAAAGGCUCACCAAGCCAACGAUCUGUAGCUGGUCUGAGAGGACGACCAGCCACACUGGGACUGAGACACGGCCCAGACUCCUACGGGAGGCAGCAGUGGGGAAUUUUGGACAAUGGGCGCAAGCCUGAUCCAGCAAUGCCGCGUGCAGGAAGAAGGCCUUCGGGUUGUAAACUGCUUUUGUACGGAACGAAACGGUCCGGGUUAAUACCCUGGGCUAAUGACGGUACCGUAAGAAUAAGCACCGGCUAACUACGUGCCAGCAGCCGCGGUAAAAC
rnacentral:rRNA from 1 species